GUAGACGUUAGCUCAGGGGUUAGAGCCCAGGCCGCUGGCUCUCGUGUCCGCGAGUUCGAGUCCCGUCGUCUACU
rnacentral:tRNA from 1 species